rnacentral:rRNA from 1 species
ACAAACGAAGGCUUGACUGUCUCUCUUAUAAAAAUAAAAAUUGGCCUUUAGGUGAAAAGACCUAAAUUAAGUUAGAGGACAAAAAGACCCCGUAGAGCUUAGUACUUUUUUAAACCCUAUUUUUGUAGGCAUACAAAAAACUAUUUUAAUAAAAAGUUCUUGGCUGGGGCGGCUAUGGAGCAAAUAUCCUCCACAAAUAGUAAAAGAUUCAACAAAUCUUAUUUUAUGAUCCUAAAUUAGAUCAAAGAAAAUAGCUACCUCGGGGAUAACAGAUUAAUCCCUUUUGAGAGUCCACAUUGACAAAGGGUUUUGACACCUCGAUGUUGGCUUAGGGUCACCAAGGGGUCAGCAGCAGCCCCUAACGGUAGGUUUGUUCAACCUUUAAAACCCU